rfam:Candidate division WOR-3 bacterium 4484_100 ex4484_100_scaffold_4896, whole genome shotgun sequence.
GGGCAGGUACCCAAGUGGUCAACGGGGGCAGACUGUAAAUCUGCUGGCGAAGGCCUUCGGAGGUUCGAAUCCUUCCCUGCCCA